GGUUAGAGAGCUCCAUCUCUGCCAGUCGCUGCUGAUUGAGAAGAAUCAAAUCCCUGGUCACGUCAUGAGGUGCAAUGUCUGCAAUAUGCAUCUGUCGCUCCUCCAGCUCAUGUAAAGUGCGGAGUAAAGAGAGCUCCCAAUGGUAUUUCACUGUUUCAGGAAUUACUUUUCCAAAUGAGACUAGAAGAAGAAAGCGACCUGUGGUUACCUAUGUUGUUCCUACUACCAGUGUCUUACUAGGAUGAGAUUAUGCUUUGUCAACAAGUUGCAUUGUGAUCUCAUCUUUGUAAACUCCGAAAGUCAAGAAACUAUCCUCAACGCCAGCCUGGAGUCUACAAGAGAAAAGACAAUAUCCUUCUCACAGUGCUGUUCUAAGUUUAUUUGGCAUUAUGGGAGAAAAUUGGAUGAAGACUGUUCAAGUCAUACUGCUCACAAGCAGGUCAUUGGCGGCCCUUUGCAGUCCACAGCCACGAUGUGUCCUCAUCACCUUUCCCAUCUCUAGCUGGACAACGGAAGCCAUCCAAUUAUUAGCUACAGCGAAGAGCCAUAUGUGAGCUGCCAUGUGUAAGGAGUGCCGCUGUAACCAUCUGAGAUCACAUUCUAAACAUUUCAGUCUGAGCCCAAAAUACCACCACAAUAACAGAUUACCUUCUCCAAGUGGUUGCCAGCAAUCUCCGUCACUAAAGACCCCCAGUACACUGUUCUUUUUACUAUACUUACUUUAAACAUAGCCUCACGUUCGUUGUUGAGAUAUCAUGUGUUCAUAUUAGUCUAGACAGCCUGCAGCGACUUAUUAGUGACUUGAAGAGAAAAGGAAUCUGUCCUUUGACCGAAAGAGACCAAAAGAGAAGUUAUAUAAAUACGUAUUGGUAGGCUUCCAGUACUUCGUGCUACCAAGCCAUGAAGACAGCAGAUGUAGAAUCUCAAUUACAAAUAAAAAUAAACAUAGAACAUGUGAGAUCCUG